rnacentral:rRNA from 1 species
UACGUAGGGUGCGAGCGUUGUCCGGAAUUAUUGGGCGUAAAGAGCUUGUAGGCGGUUUGUCGCGUCUGCUGUGAAAAUCCGGGGCUCAACCCCGGACUUGCAGUGGGUACGGGCAGACUAGAGUGUGGUAGGGGAGACUGGAAUUCCUGGUGUAGCGGUGAAAUGCGCAGAUAUCAGGAGGAACACCGAUGGCGAAGGCAGGUCUCUGGGCCACUAC